GCUUUUGGGAACAAAUUUUUUACUGUGAAGAUUUCACAAAUAGUGUGUACACUACAUCAUAAAUUGUCCUACAUAGAUGCAAUAAAUUUUUAGUCUGAAGGAAACAAGUACGUUACAGAAAAACAUUUACAACAAAAGCACAUUACAAAAAUUUAAGCACAUAAUGUUCAAUGGUGAUGGAACGGUGCAAAGAAAAGGAAAAUAGUUCUUGAAAACAAACACAUGAAUACAAAAAAUUUGAAAUAUCAUAGGCGGAAUUAUUUGUCCCGCUCAUUGAACUACCACUCAAUCUAUUCAAAUUUUUCAUUAGCAUCUCUCAUGACAUCGAGUAUAUCCUGAUAACAUUUUUGCUCCAGAGUAUGCAAGCGUAAAAGUACAAAGGUGUCGGAAACUUGAGCUGUCUAGUUGGUAAUAACUCUUCGAUAUAGGCAACACCAGUGUUGUCGGUUGAAGCCUCAUGGUAUUGAUCUUUGCUGCCACUUCUUCGACGGCGCUGGUGGCCCGGUUAUUUGAGGACAGCUCAUGCACAGAAAUGUUCUUCUUCUUUCCUCAUUGCUUGCUUGUGGAUGACUUCAUUUUUCGUCUCUUAUGGUGUUGGAGACGUUCACGCAUGAUCUACCGUUUGUAUCGUCUCCCUCAUCACUUGAACCGCUGCUCUUCUCAUCGGUGGUCUUCGAGCGUAUUGUCCUCAAACAACUUGAACCCCUUUCUACACAACUUCGUUAAAGUGACUGGAUACUUGUUCUCAUCGUAACUGUUACCGAUUAGUUGACGAUAGUGAGUGUAGAUCUUGCUUACGUCUUUGUCCUUGAAAUCUUUGUACUCCUUGUUCUCCUGCGAACAAGGGUUAAACAAUUACACCAAUACUUCUAUUUGAAAACCAAAAUGUGAGUACUAUCCAAAUAAGGCAGUCAAACAAAUUCAGCUAGCAUAGUGCAAUGCAAUGAGUGCUCGCCCAUGUGCAAAAGUGAACAGGAAGGUAAAAAAUAGCCUCAGUAACCAUUACCAAACAACACACCUCCCAAGCAAGACAUAUUUACCUAUCUUAAAAUUUACGUUUGGAAUGAAAGUACAAAUUCGCAGUAUGAUGCACGCAAAAUAUGCAAUAGAUAAGCAUGAAAACGUUUACACAUCACAUUGUCACACAUUAAAGAAUAGCACAUUUGUAUCGAAAACUAGUGAUGCACAACUGUUAUCCACAGCCAGUAGUGACAACAUAUAUUUACAGUCUCAUUUAUAUAGACUUAUUCCCCCCUUUUUUUUUGUUCUUAUUAUAUAAUUUUGUUUCUUUAUUGAGUUUGUUUUGUUUUGUUCGUUUACUAAUAGAU
rnacentral:lncRNA from 1 species